AUUCCAUCCUAAUAACAUCCCUCUGGGCUUUCACAUUAUUUCCUAGAAGUGACUUCGAUUUCUCCUGUCUUGUCCAAGGCUCCAGGACCUCUAACAAUGGAACUCGCACUGUUCCAGUUCUGUAGCUUGAGUUCUGCUUGAGCGCGAUUGUUAUAGGCCACGACAUUGGGAAGCACUGAUAUACUCCUACAAGAGAGACACUUAUUGGCAACAAGUCGACCAGAGGAAAACAUAUGAAGAUAGAGAAACUCAAACACGAUGAAGUCAAAAUGAGGUCAUGAUGGUGUACCUUCGUCCAAUAUGACUGGUGUCCUUAUAAGAAGAGAUUAGAACACAGACACAUGCCGAGGAAAGACCACUUGAAGACACAGAGAGAAGACAGUCACCUACAAGCCAGAACAGGGGCCCAGAAGACGCCAGCCCUCCUGACACUUUGAUCAGAUUUGUAGCCUCCAGGAUGGUGAGAAAAUACAUUUCUGUUUGAGUCCUUCAGCCUGUGGCACUUUGUUAUGGCAGUCCUAGCAAGCUAAUACAGCCUGCAGGAUCAAAAGCAAUAAAAUACAGUUCUGUAAACAUACUGAAUCACUAUUUACACAGAUGCUUAAAUAUCCAGUUAAGCAGUUUAAGGUUGGCUCUGGCUUUACAAGUGACAUGGUAACCUAAACGCC